rnacentral:piRNA from 1 species
UAGCCAUAUAGCUAUGCUCUAUUCUGUCUA